rnacentral:snRNA from 1 species
CGAUGAGAAGGCAGUGUGGCUGCAACAUCGUCACCCCAUUGAUCCACCAGGGAUUAAUUAAUUAAUUAAUUCAGAUGAUCUGGGGAGGUCUCUUUUCCUCACUGCUCCAUGUAUGUCCCUCCUAAAGCUAUAUGCUCCCUUCCUGGAAUGAAAGAGAACCAGCCUCUGUCAAGGGUAUUCCGACAGCUGCACUCCCUGCUAGAACCUCCUGUACAAUACCAGGAGAGGACAGCACAAUUGACAGGGUCAUGGGAAAGAUUUAAGUAGAAGAUGGAUAGCGCAACAACCCCCAUGGGAGAGAUUGUGCCUAGUGUGCACAAGACACAAGUUUGGU